GUGGGGAAUUUUGGACAAUGGGCGCAAGCCUGAUCCAGCAAUGCCGCGUGCAGGAAGAAGGCCUUCGGGUUGUAAACUGCUUUUGUACGGAACGAAACGGUCCGGGUUAAUACCCUGGGCUAAUGACGGUACCGUAAGAAUAAGCACCGGCUAACUACGUGCCAGCAGCCGCGGUAAUACGUAGGGUGCAAGCGUUAAUCGGAAUUACUGGGCGUAAAGCGUGCGCAGGCGGUUUUGUAAGACAGGCGUGAAAUCCCCGGGCUUAACCUGGGAAUUGCGCUUGUGACUGCAGUGCUGGAGUGCGGCAGAGGGGGAUGGAAUUCCGCGUGUAGCAGUGAAAUGCGUAGAUAUGCGGAGGAACACCGAUGGCGAAGGCAAUCCCCUGGGCCUGCACUGACGCUCAUGCACGAAAGCGUGGGGAGCAAACAGGAUUAGAAACCCCAGUAGUCC
rnacentral:rRNA from 1 species